CGCGUAGGCGGCUUGAUAAGCCGGUUGUGAAAGCCCCGGGCUCAACCUGGGAACGGCAUCCGGAACUGUCAGGCUAGAGUGCAGGAGAGGAAGGUAGAAUUCCCGGUGUAGCGGUGAAAUGCGUAGAGAUCGGGAGGAAUACCAGUGGCGAAGGCGGCCUUCUGGACUGACACUGACGCUGAGGUGCGAAAGCGUGGGUAGCAAACA
rnacentral:rRNA from 1 species